GGACGACUUUACAGUCGAGGGGGUCUGCGGCGGGACUUCAUUUCCCCACCCAAGACUUCUCCUCCCCGCAACGAGCAGCUCGAUCAUCCCCAGCUGAGAGUGGCGGCGUCCGAGGAGAGGAGGAGUCCGGCUAGGACUGGACUGGAGCAGGAGACCUGGUGUUCUGAAUGGUCUCCUAAGACCACAGAGGCUUCCAGGUGCCUCCCUGCCCUUCAUCAGGCUUUUGGGCAGCACCUGGGCGAUGACCAAGCAUCAGAGAUGGAGACAGAAUUCAGUUUUCCUCGGCUUGUGAGACGCCAGGAAUACGGUAAUGAGUAUUAGUGUAACGCACAGCCGCCGGGAGAGAAAGAGGCAAAAAGAGGAAGAAGAAAAGGCGUCUCUCCUCUCCCGAUAGAGUUGCCCCUUCUCGGUGGCGGGCAGCAUCUCCUCCUCCUCCUCCUCCUCCUCCUCCUCCUUCUUCCUCGCCGCCCUUUAAGCUGAGUGCGUUGUGAUUUCCAAUAAUUGAGACAGUGAUUCUAACAGCUGUCUGCAUUAAUGAAAAGAACAAUGUGGUCAGCUUGACUGAGUCGGUCUUCGGGGUCGCCCAGCGACCCGCGCACGCUCGCCGGACGGACCGUGGGGGGUGGGCCGGCCAUGCGGCCGUAGGUCGAGGGCCGGG